AGUGGUCAUAGCCACUAUAAAUAGGGCUUUAAGCUAUGAGCGUUACCCGUCAAAUUUGACGGGUAGGUAGUC
rnacentral:ribozyme from 1 species